rnacentral:tRNA from 1 species
UGGCUCAGAGGUUAAAGCGUCUGCCUGCAAUGCAGGAGACCUGGGUUUAAUCCCUG